GGGGUGUGCUCAGAGCAGGGAUGCUGAAGAAAUGGUUCUUCUGUUUAUAGCACACCCAACAGGAAUCCGGGCUCACUGUGACAAGGGGUACAAGACUUGCAGCUUCCCUACGAGAAAAUACCUACAUGU
ensembl:snoRNA